rnacentral:rRNA from 1 species
AGUGAACGCUGGCGGUAGGCCUAACACAUGCAAGUCGAACGGCAGCACAGUAAGAGCUUGCUCUUACGGGUGGCGAGUGGCGGACGGGUGAGGAAUACAUCGGAAUCUACUUUUUCGUGGGGGAUAACGUAGGGAAACUUACGCUAAUACCGCAUACGACCUACGGGUGAAAGCAGGGGAUCUUCGGACCUUGCGCGAUUGAAUGAGCCGAUGUCGGAUUAGCUAGUUGGCGGGGUAAAGGCCCACCAAGGCGACGAUCCGUAGCUGGUCUGAGAGGAUGAUCAGCCACACUGGAACUGAGACACGGUCCAGACUCCUACGGGAGGCAGCAGUGGGGAAUAUUGGACAAUGGGCGCAAGCCUGAUCCAGCCAUACUGCGUGGGUGAAGAAGGCCUUCGGGUUGUAAAGCCCUUUUGUUGGGAAAGAAAAGCAGCAGGUUAAGACCCCGCUGUUCUGACGGUACCCAAAGAAUAAGCACCGGCUAACUUCGU